rnacentral:rRNA from 1 species
AGAGUUUGAUUAUGGCUCAGAUUGAACGCUGGCGGCAGGCCUAACACAUGCAAGUCGAACGGUAACAGGAAGCAGCUUGCUGCUUCGCUGACGAGUGGCGGACGGGUGAGUAAUGUCUGGGAAACUGCCUGAUGGAGGGGGAUAACUACUGGAAACGGUAGCUAAUACCGCAUAAUGUCGCAAGACCAAAGAGGGGGACCUUCGGGCCUCUUGCCAUCGGAUGUGCCCAGAUGGGAUUAGCUAGUAGGUGGGGUAACGGCUCACCUAGGCGACGAUCCCUAGCUGGUCUGAGAGGAUGACCAGCCACACUGGAACUGAGACACGGUCCAGACUCCUACGGAAGGCAGCAGUGGGGAAUAUUGCACAAUGGGCGCAAGCCUGAUGUAGCCAUGCCGCGUGUAUGAAGAAGGCCUUCGGGUUGUAAAGUACUUUCAGCGGGGAGGAAGGUGCUGAGGUUAAUAACCUCAGCAAUUGACGUUACCCGCAGAAGAAGCACCGGCUAACUCCGUGCCAGCAGCCGCGGCAAUACGGAGGGUGCAAGCGUUAAUCGGAAUUACUGGGCGUAAAGCGCACGCAGGCGGUCUGUCAAGUCGGAUGUGAAAUCCCCGGGCUCAACCUGGGAACUGCAUCCGAAACUGGCAGGCUAGAGUCUUGUAGAGGGGGGUAGAAUUCCAGGUGUAGCGGUGAAAUGCGUAGAGAUCUGGAGGAACACCGGUGGCGAAGGCGGCCCCCUGGACAAAGACUGACGCUCAUGUGCGAAGGUGCGGGGAGCAAACAGGAUUAGAUACCCUGGUAGUC